GACGAACGCUGGCGGCGUGCUUAACACAUGCAAGUCGAACGGAAAGGCCCUGCUUUUGUGGGGUGCUCGAGUGGCGAAAGGGUGAGUAACACGUGAGUAACCUGCCCUUGACUUUGGGAUAACUUCAGGAAACUGGGGCUAAUACCGAAUAGGAGCUCCUGCUGCAUGGUGGGGGUUGGAAAGUUUCGGCGGUUGGGGAUGGACUCGUGGCUUAUCAGCUUGUUGGUGGGGUAGUGGCUUACCAAGGCGUUGACGGGUAGCCGGCCUGCGAGGGUGACCGGCCACAUUGGGACUGAGAUACGGCCCAGACUCCUACGGGAGGCAGCAGUGGGGAAUAUUGCACAGUGGGCGGAAGCCUGAUGCAGCAACGCCGCGUGCGGGAUGACGGCCUUCGGGUUGUAAACCGCUUUCGCCUGUGACGAAGCGUGAGUGACGGUAAUGGGUAAAGAAGCACCGGCUAACUACGUG
rnacentral:rRNA from 1 species